rnacentral:rRNA from 1 species
AUUGAACGCUGGCGGCAGGCUUAACACAUGCAAGUCGAGCGAGCGGCGGGCGGGUGAGUAAGGUAUGGGUACUGCCCGAUAGAGGGGGAUAACUACGGGAAACGGUAGCUAAUACCGCAUAUUAUCGGAUAACCCAUAUGGGAUUAGCUAGUAGGUGUGGUAAUGGCUCACCUAGGCGACGAUCCCUAGCGGGUCUGAGAGGAUGAUCAGCAACACUGGAACGGAGACACGGCCCAGACUCCUACGGAGGCAGCAGUGGGGAAUAGGGCAGAAUGGGCGCAAGGCUGAUGUAGCCAUGCCGCGUAGAGGAAGAAGGCCCUAGGGUUGUAAAGUACUUCCAGUCUGGAGGCGUUACCGUCAGAAGAAGCACCGGCUAACUCCGUGCCAGCAGCCGCGGUAAUAC